rnacentral:rRNA from 1 species
UGCGAAGGUGGCAAGCGUUGUUCGGAUUUACUGGGCGUACAGGGAGCGUAGGCGGUUGGAUAAGCCCUCCGUGAAAUCUCCAGGCUUAACCUGGAAAGUGCGGAGGGGACUGUUCAGCUAGAGGAUGGGAGAGGAGCGCGGAAUUCCCGGUGUAGCGGUGAAAUGCGUAGAGAUCGGGAGGAAGGCCGGUGGCGAAGGCGGCGCUCUGGAACAUUUCUGACGCUGAGGCUCGAAAGCGUGGGGAGCAAACAGG